rnacentral:rRNA from 1 species
UACGUAGGGUGCAAGCGUUGUCCGGAAUUAUUGGGCGUAAAGGGCGCGUAGGCGGUUUGCUAAGUCAGUUGUGAAAGCCCGGGGCUCAACCCCGGAGGGUCGGCUGAUACUGGUGGACUAGAGUACGGAAGAGGUAGCUGGAAUUCCCGGUGUAGCGGUGAAAUGCGUAGAUAUCAGGAGGAAUACCGAUGGCGAAGGCAGGUCUCUGGGCUGAUACUGACGCUCAUGCACGAAGCGUGGGGAGCAAACAGG